CCCCUAGAUGUUCUGGGCCGCACGCGCGCUACACUGAACAGUUCAACAAGUCUUAACCUUGGCCGAGAGGCCUGGGCAAUCUUGUUAACGUGCAUCGUGAUAGGGAUAGAUUAUUGAAAUUAUUAAUCUUGAACGAGGAAUUCCUAGUAAACGCAGAUCAUCAAUCUGCAUUGAUUACGUCCCUGCCCUUUGUACACACCGCCCGUCGCACCUACCGAUUGGAUGGUCCGGUGAAGCCUCGGGAUUGUGGUUCUUGCCGCUUUAUUGUGGCGUGACCGCGAGAACUUGUCUAAACCUUAUCAUCUAGAGGAAGGUGAAGUCGUANCA
rnacentral:rRNA from 1 species